GGAAAAGGCUCUGCUGGCACACAAGGACUUGUGAUAUCACUGUGAUUCUGUUUCAUUUGCAACUGGAGACUAAAUGACACCAAGCAGAAUCUGCUGUUAGGUUAGAUUACAAGGACACUUUCUGAGACACACAAGACCAUGCAGGCUACAUCAUUAGUCUAUUAUUUCCUGCUUAUCUCUCUGUGCAUUCAUUUUUCUCAAAAUGAAACUAGUGCCCUUCCCAGGAGGCAAAGGAGAAGAAUACGCUACAGAGCAUUGGGAAGGAGGUUCUCAGCAGGGAACAGGGCCCCACGACAGCUGAGGAUGACGCCUCCAGCUCCUGCUGCUGUAGUACCCAGCAUACCUCUUAUUAACAUCGAUGACAGUGUUAUGGGAGUAUUUGACUCUCUCAUAGGUUUGGGUGGACAUGAAUCUAGUUACAGCAUCUUGCCAGGAAAGAAGGGGCACUGCACAGCUAAUGGGAUGAUUAUGUAUGAUAAAGCUGUCUGGUCUCCCAAGCCCUGCAUUACUUGUCUCUGUUCAAAAGGAGAAGUGAUAUGUGAUACAACCAUGUGCCACACUCUGAAAUGUUCCCAAACUGUUAUACCUGCAGGAGAAUGCUGCCCAGUUUGCUCUGAUACUG